CAGCAGCCACGGUAAUACGUAGGGGGCAAGCGUUAUCCGGAAUAACUGGGCGUAAAGGGUGCGCAGGUGGUUUAACAAGUUAGUGGUGAAAGGCAUAGGCUCAACCAAUGUAAGCCAUUAAAACUGUUUAACUUGAGUGCAGAAGGGGAGAGUGGAAUUCCAUGUGUAGCGGUGAAAUGCGUAGAUAUAUGGAGGAACACCGGUGGCGAAAGCGGCUCUCCGGUCUGUAACUGACGCUGAGGCUCGAAAGCGUGGGGAGCAAACAGGAUUAGAUACCCCUGUAGUCCCUGUCUCUUAUACA
rnacentral:rRNA from 1 species